rnacentral:tRNA from 1 species
ACCUUCAUGGUGUAAUGGUCAGCACUCUUGUCCCAUAUUCGAGAAGGCCAAGGUUCGAGUUCUGGUGAAGGUA